UAAAUUUACUCACUGUUGCUUCUUAUGAUUAAACUAGCUCUGAAUGUUGUUGGUUGGGUCUUUUGUCUUCCUGGUUCACUAAUAGCCUUUUAAUGCUACAUUCUUCACCUUCCCCUGUAAUUGUUUUGUGUACCAAAGGCUCUUAAAGACUCUGACCAAGUAGCACAGAGUGAUGGGGAGGAGAGCCCUGCUGCUGAAGAGCAGCUCUUGGGAGAGCACAUUAAAGAGGAAAAAGAAGAAUCUGAAUUUCUACCCUCAUCUGGAGGAACAUUUAAUAUCUCUGUCAGUGGGGACAUUGAUGGUUUAAUUACUCAGGCUUUGCUGACGGGCAAUUUUGAGAGUGCUGUUGACCUUUGUUUACAUGAUAACCGCAUGGCUGAUGCCAUUAUAUUGGCCAUAGCAGGUGGACAAGAACUCUUGGCUCGAACCCAGAAAAAAUACUUUGCAAAAUCCCAAAGCAAAAUUACCAGGCUCAUCACUGCAGUGGUGAUGAAGAACUGGAAAGAGAUUGUUGAGUCUUGUGAUCUUAAAAAUUGGAGAGAGGCUUUAGC
rnacentral:sRNA from 1 species